GAUGGACGCUAGCGGCAGGCUUAAUACAUGCAAGUCGAGGGACAGCACAGGUAGCAAUACUGGGUGGUAACCGGCAAACGGGUGCGGAACACGUACACAACCUUCCUUUAAGUGGGGGAUAGCCCAGAGAAAUUUGGAUUAAUACCCCGUAAUAUAGUUGAAUGGCAUCAUUUGAUUAUUAUAGCUACGGCGCUUAAUGAUGGGGGUGCGGCUGAUUAGAUAGUUGGCGGGGUAACGGCCCACCAAGUCUACGAUCAGUAGUUGAUGUGAGAGCAUGAUCAGCCACACAGGCACUGAGACACGGGCCCGACUCCUACGGGAGGCAGCAGUAAGGAAUAUUGGUCAAUGGACGCAAGUCUGAACCAGCCAUGCCGCGUGAAGGAUUAAGGUCCUCUGGAUUGUAAACUUCUUUUAUUUGGGACGAAAAAGGGUCUUUCUAGAUCAACUGACGGUACCAGAUGAAUAAGCACCGGCUAACUCCGUGCCAGCAGCCGCCGUAACAC
rnacentral:rRNA from 1 species